UUUUUUUUUUUUUUUACUUUAAGCUCCAGGGGAGGAAGAACAAAAAAAAAAAUUUAAAAAAAUACUAAAAAAGAAGGAAAAAAAUAAAAAAGAAAAAAAGAAUAGAAAAGGUUUGAAAGUCGUGGGGACGGAGGUUUAACCCCCCCCAAAAAAACCUCCCGAUUCUCCCCCCAAAAAAACCUACAAAACCCACAUUUUGGGGUGAAAAUGGGGCAAAAUUUGCUGUGGGGGGAGUUUUUUGUGGCGGGUUUUGCCCCAAAUGCUCUGAAAUCACCCUAAAAACGAGUGAAAUCACCCCAAAAUCUGGGCCUUGACCCCUCGCACGUGGCUUUUUUGCUGCCUUUUUAACCUCCCGCCUCCAUUUUUUGGCCUUUUUUGCCCCAAAACGCUGGGGCGGGGGCACAGGUCGAGCCACCAAAGCCCCCCCCAGAAAGGGGGGGGGUGUCAGCACCGGGGCCGCCUCCUGCCCCCAAAAAUGGUGAAAAAAGGGGAAAAUGUCAGAAAACACUCAGAGUUUGAGUGGCUUUUCCUUAUUUGGGGUAUUUUUUCCCUAUUUGGGGUUUUUUUACCCCAAAAGCCGCUCCCGGUUGUUGCGCGGCUGUUGAGUUCAGUGGCCGCUGCCCCUCAACACCCUCCCCCCCACCACCACUUUCUGAAAACCCUCAAAAAUAGCUAAAAACAGGCAAUUUGGGGGGCAGGGACCACCCUCACACCGCAACACCAGGGUCACAACCCCCCAUCACCCCCCAAAUCCCCCCAAAUUGCCCCAAAUUGCCCUCAAACCCCCCCGGGACGACCCCGUGUUGUGCCAAGCGCCGGCCUGACCCGUUCCGCUUGUCUUUUGGGGGCAGUUUGGAGCAUUUUUCACCCUAAAACCAAUGCCCCCCCUUCCCGGUCCCUCCCGACACCCCCAAACCCUCCCCGCGGGUGUCUCCGCACAACCGCACCCCCUCCCUCGCUUUCGUUUUGGGGUGGUUUUGUCCUUUUUCACCCUUUCGCCUCCGGUUGGGGUGGGUUGGUGACACUCUGGUUUGUCACCGGGCCCGGCCGGUGGCACCGCGACUCCUCUCUGUCCCCGUUGUCACCCGGGGGUGGCGGUGUCACCCGGUGCCAGCAGUGUCACCCGGGGGUGGCGGUGUCACCCGGUGCCAGCAGAGCCAGGGGUGGUGUUGCCCCCUCUGUCACCGCCACAUUCCUGCUUUCCAUGAGGGUGACACCGGGAGGGUGACACCAUCCCGUGCGGUGUCACCAGGCCGGUGGUGGCACAGCCGGUGGUGGCCGAGACGUCCCCCCCCCACCGAGCACUCGGGGGGGACGAUGAGGUGGUGCCGGGCGGCUGUUGCGGGGUGCGGAUCGGUGUCGCUGGAGCCAGACGGGUGACACCUGUGUGAAGACAGAUUGUCACCCGCACCCCGAGUCACCCGCCAGCACCCCUGGUCACCCACCCGCACACACACCCCCCCCCC
rnacentral:lncRNA from 1 species